rnacentral:rRNA from 1 species
GCUUAAGGCCACACCGCCUGGUAUACGCUUGAUCUCGGAAGAUAAGGUAGGUUGGGCCUGGUUAGUACUUGGAUGGGAGACCCCUGGGAAUACCAGGUGCUGUAAGCU